CCCCCCCCCCCCCCCCCCCCCCCCCCCCCCCCCCCCCCCCCCCCCCCCCCCCCCCCCCCCCCCCCCCCCCCCCCCCCCGUGCUCCCACCGGGAAAACCGGCUCCGUGCUGGCACCGCGCUGCUCCAGCCCGGCACUGCCACACCCGGCUCCGUCCUACCUGUGCCCACGCCCCGCGGCCGCCAGCCUUGACCUUGGUGCCAAACUGGGGAGCGGGCGUGGGAGCGGGCACUGCCAGGGGCCCCUCGUCCUCCCCAGCCCGUGGGACAGCGGGAUGGGAGCGCUGGAGGUGAUUUAAAACCCGCCCCGGGCACAGGUUUGGGACCAGGAGCUGUCGCGGGAUGGGGGCUGGCAUCUGCCGGCUGAGCCAGGGAGCAGGAGGGGACACUCAGAGCGGGACACUAAACACGGGAAUGUGCCAGCCAUCCUGCGAAGUCUCCUCGGAGCCAGCCGGGGAGGAAGCAGCUGGAGCCGCGGAGCUGGAGGAAGCGGUGGAAAAGCUCCUCCUUCCUCUCGCUGUGCUGCUGCUCCUUCCCCGAGCGCAACAGGCGGAAACAGCCCCGGCAGGAUCCUGCGGCGCUGCCCGGGCACGAUCCGCGGGGACGAAAGGUCUCACUCAUUCCCAGAGCCUGGGCACCGCCAGCAGCUCGGGGCGUAACCGAGGGAGGAAGAGGAGGAGGAGGGAGGAAGGAGGACGUGGUGGCGUGACCAGAAAGUUCAAGCUGUUCCCAGCUGCGAGGCGGCCCCGGGGAGUCGCCGCCGAGGUGGAUGCACGCCUUGGGCUCGCUCUGGGUCCCUGGAUGCUUCCAGACCCCUGGAAGCUGGGGCUUGGCUCGGCGUGGGGCAGCCAGCGUGGAAACGGCUCCAGGAGGUUUUUCCUGGGCUGGGCUUGUUUAGCCGGGAGCUGUGGGAGGGAGGGUUGGAAGUGGCCGGGCUGGGAGCGGAGGCAUCCUGUUUAUCCUCCUGAAAUAGCUGCCCUUGGCCGCCGCGGGGCUGGGCAGGGGGCGGCAGGAUGCGCACAGCCCUCCCCCGCCCCCCCCCCCCCCCCCCCCCCCCCCCCCCCCCCCCCCCCCCCCCCCCCCCCCCCCCCCCCCCCCCCCCCCCCCCCCCCCCCCCCCCCCCCCCCCCCCCCCCCCCCCCCCCCCCCC
rnacentral:lncRNA from 1 species